GCGAUGCCGCGAGGCGGAGCGAAUCUCAAAAAGCCGGUCUCAGUUCGGAUUGGGGUCUGCAACUCGACCCCAUGAAGUCGGAGUUGCUAGUAAUCGCAGAUCAGCAUUGCUGCGGUGAAUACGUUCCCGGGCCUUGUACACACCGCCCGUCACGUCACGAAAGUCGGUAACACCCGAAGCCGGUGGCCCAACCCCUUGUGGGAGGGAGCUGUCGAAGGUGGGACUGGCGAUUGGGACGAAGUCGUAACAAGGUAGCCGUACCGGAAGGUGCGGCUGGAUCACCUCCUUUCU
rnacentral:rRNA from 1 species